rnacentral:rRNA from 1 species
UGGUACGACGGAGCGGCGAACGGGUGAGUAACACUUGAGCAACCUGCCCCACAGACCGGGAUAGCCCAGGGAAACCUGGAUUAAUACCGGAUACCCUCACGGAAUCGCAUGAUUCGGUGAGGAAAAGCUUUUGUGCUGUGGGAUGGGCUCGAGGCUUAUCAGCUAGUUGGUGGGGUAACGGCCUACCAAGGCAUCGACGAGUAGCUGGUCUGAGAGGACGAUCAGCCACACUGGGACUGAGACACGGCCCAGACUCCUACGGGAGGCAGCAGCAGGGAAUCUUGCGCAAUGGGCGAAAGCCUGACGCAGCAACGCCGCGUGGGGGAUGAAGGCCUUCGGGUCGUAAACCCCUUUCAGGAGGGAAGAAAUUGACGGUACCUCCAAAAGAAGCACCGGCCAACUACGUGCCAGCAGCCGCGGUAAUACGUAGGGUGCAAGCGUUAUCCGGAAUCAUUGGGCGUAAAGAGCUCGUAGGCGGUUCAGCAAGUCGGCUGUGAAAUCCCGAGGCUUAACCUCGGAACUGCAGUCGAUACUGCUGUGACUAGAGUCCGGUAGAGGAGAAUGGAAUUCCCGGUGUAGCGGUGAAAUGCGCAGAUAUCGGGAGGAACACCAGUAGCGAAAGGCGGUUCUCUGGGCCGGUACUGACGCUGAGGAACGAAAGCGUGGGUAGCAAACAGGAUUAGAUACCCUGGUAGUCCACGCCGUAAACGUUGGACACUAGGUGUGGCGUUCCGACCAACGGGUGCCGUGCCGAAGCUAACGCAUUAAGUGUCCCGCCUGGGGAGUACGGCCGCAAGGCUAAAACUCAAAGGAAUUGACGGGUCCCCGCACAAGCGGCGGAGCAUGCGGCUUAAUUCGAUGCAACCCGAAGAACCUUACCUGGGUUUGACAUCACGGGAAAAGCUGUAGAAAUACAGUGUCCUUUAGGGUCCGUGACAGGUGGUGCAUGGCUGUCGUCAGCUCGUGUCGUGAGAUGUUGGGUUAAGUCCCGCAACGAGCGCAACCCUUAUCCUAUGUUGCCAGCACGUAAUGGUGGGGACUCAUAGGAGACUGCCGGGGAUAACUCGGAGGAAGGUGAGGACGACGUCAAGUCAUCAUGCCCCUUAUAUCCAGGGCUGCACGCAUGCUACAAUGGCCGGUACAACGGGCAGCAAUCCUGCGAAGGUGAGCGAAUCCCUCAAAGCCGGUCUCAGUUCGGAUUGGAGUCUGCAACUCGACUCCAUGAAGUCGGAGUCGCUAGUAAUCGUGGAUCAG